CCAACAAGUAGGCUCCACACAGAGACAAUGGAAAGACCAAAAAAGAAAUUCUGCAAUAAUGGAGCCAAAAGCCAGACCUUGCCAGCCAUACCACCAUUUCCAUUUCCACCAUCAACACCAGAGACAGUCCCAGAUCUAAGACAAGAUGAAAGAGAACUCCGACUCUUUCAGAUGCUAGAGGAGAUAAAA